AGUGCCAUGUAUGCGGCUCAACUGUGUAACAGAGGAGAGAUUAGUCCUGCACACAGCUGAAGGCAGUGUCAUUUAGUGAAUCUGGGUCAAGAGCCUCCCAUAAACUAAAGCACAGGGCUGCUGCUCCCAGAGCGCAUCUCUGAGCUCCACCUGCUGCUCAGUGACUGGCGUGCCGCCCGGCACCGCUCUUUCUCUCCUUUGUUUUGUGGUUCCUGCUCCUACAAUUGUAACCGUAAAGCAGAGAUGUGUUCACAGCUCCCUGUGCAGCGAACCUUGCAGAAAUACCCGUUUGUUUGUUCCUCCCGGUGCAAAACAGCUGACAAGCAGCUUUUUGCUGCGUGCUGAGCAGGCAGAACCAUCUGGGCUCGGGUGCUAUGAUCUGCCCUGACAGCAGGAACAGGCAUUACUGGGCUUCCCCUGCCACACACACAUCACCCUCAGUAACGACACAUGCAUAAAAAGUCAGACCCUUCUCUUUCUGCUCUUUCCACUGGCUGCAAGUAAUUUACUUGCCGUGCUGCUGGCACUGGCUGUGCUGUGGGUUUCUUCCCCCCCCCCACUGGCAUUGGGCUGAAAUCCCUGCACGCACAGAAUUUUAAUGCUGCCUUGUGAUUGCGCUUUUGGAAAACCCUACAAAUGCUAUUGCCUCAGAGAACUCAAGAAAAAAUAAGAGUAUCAAGGUAUUUGAUGCCUUUACAUGGACCUAAAGACUUUUCUCAAGUGGUGUUAUUAAAAUUGGAGACUUCUACCCUGUGCCACAUGUCUAUCUUCUGCAGAAGAUAGUUAAUAACAGCCAUCCUUCCAGCUCUCCCAUGUCAAGUGGAAAGUUAUAAAUGGAGAAAUACACUGUGCAGGAGUACUUUUCAUUUCUUUCUUCAUUGUUUUUUAUAUUUCUAAUCCAGAUGCAGAGUCUUUGAAACUGCACAUUUUUUCAGAGACGAUGUCUGGAAGUUUCUGAAAAUGUAGUGUUCAGUAACUGGACACAAGUCUGACUGCUCUCCCUGAGCCUGCAUCUGAACUGUCCUCAAAGCAGCCAAACAGAAAGCUGCCGUCCUGCCCUGUCCCCUAAACCAGUCAGUUGCAAGGUGGGAGGCAUGAGGGCUUUCAAUCCCAAAUCCAGCUCUUCGGGAAACCACAGGUGUCUGAAAUGUGAACAUUGAGCUCUGCCUACACUUGCAUGGUUUGGACCAGAGCAAGUAACCUAUUUGUGCAUUUCUCUGUUGAACACCUACCACAGACAUCGGGUUCUCAGUGCAGCACGUUGCUUCCAAG